UACGAAGGGGGCUAGCGUUGCUCGGAAUCACUGGGCGUAAAGGGCGCGUAGGCGGCCGGCCAAGUCGGGGGUGAAAGCCUGUGGCUCAACCACAGAAUGGCCCUCGAUACUGGACGGUUCGAGACCGGAAGAGGUUGGUGGAAUUCCGAGUGUAGAGGUGAAAUUCGUAGAUAUUCGGAAGAACACCAGUGGCGAAGGCGGCUCACUGGACCGGCAUUGACGCUGAGGUGCGAAAGCGUGGGGAGCAAACAGG
rnacentral:rRNA from 1 species